rnacentral:ncRNA from 1 species
AAGGAGUAAGCCGAAAAUCCUGCAACAGAGUAGGCA